rnacentral:rRNA from 1 species
CGCGUAGGCGGGCCAGCAAGUCCGGGGUGAAAUCUUUCGGCUUAACCGGAAAAGUGCCUUGGAUACUGCUGGUCUCGAGCGAGGUAGGGGCAGGCGGAACUUCCAGUGGAGCGGUGAAAUGCGUUGAUAUCGGAAGGAACUCCGGUGGCGAAAGCGGCCUGCUGGACCUCUUCUGACGCUGAGGCGCGAAAGCUAGGGGAAGGCAAACG